GCUUCUCAAUGAACUUCUGCAUGCAUGCAUACAGAAAUGCAGAUGGCAACAGAGCAAAAAGCUUGCUGAUGCAGUCGCUGCUACCAUGCAACGACUCCCCAAUGAAAGCGUCCAGAUUUUAGGGGAAUGGUGGUCCUCACUGUCACCCUCCGACAUGAUCAGAUAUGUUCAGGUGUGGAAGACGGCCCUCUCGUGGAUCCCAAUCUUUAAGUCUGCUUCUUGCAACUCUGAAGCCAGAAACGUACUGCUAAUCCUCCAGCAUAUGUACAAUACCAAUGAGAUAAACAAGAAAAUCCCAGAAACAACUUUUUGCCU